UGGAGGAUUGAGAAGGUGAGGUAGCUUUAUUACUGUGCUGCUCUUGCUGGUAGUAACCUCCCAUAUUAAAAUCAUGCAGUAGUGUUUUCAACUUUGCUGCAGAGUGUCUUUGUUGCUAAAGCACAUCAC